CUAUCAAGCAGUGACUGGCGAAAAUGUGGAAAUGACCACAAGGGAGCUGCAUUCAUAUACCCAUUUGCCGUUCGCCUGGGCAUAAUGA
rfam:Bacillus marisflavi strain JCM 11544 scaffold3, whole genome shotgun sequence.